rnacentral:rRNA from 1 species
UUGAAAGGGAAACGAUUGAAGUCAGUCGUACCAGCGGGAAAUCAACCUUUCGAGUGGGGNUUGNAGUUUUGAAGUGUGUCAAAACCUUUGAGAUUCCNAAAUUUUCGCUCUUUUGGUGUACUUUCUCGUGGGUAGGUUAACAUCGAUUUUGAUCAUCAUAAAAAGAUUGGAGGAAUGUAGCUUCGAUCUUGUAUUGAAGUGUUAUAGCCUUUGGUAAAUGUGAUGAUUAGGAUCGAGGAUUGCAACGAAUACCCUUUUGGGCUAUCCGCCUGAUCUCUGAUACGUGGCCUUGGUAUCGAAAGCUUGCUUAUGGUAUUAAGGUAUUACGGUCAAAAGGUUAGAACGGAUUACAUUCGUUAAGGAUGUUGACGUA